AUUGAACGCUGGCGGCAGGCCUAACACAUGCAAGUCGAUCGGAUGAAGGGGGCUUGCUCCUGGAUUCAGCGGCGGACGGGUGAGUAAUGCCUAGGAAUCUGCCUGGUAGUGGGGGAUAACGUCCGGAAACGGGCGCUAAUACCGCAUACGUCCUGAGGGAGAAAGUGGGGGGUCUUCGGACCCCACGCUAUCAGAUGAGCCUAGGUCGGAUUAGCUAGUUGGUGGGGUAAAGGCCUACCAAGGCGACGAUCCGUAACUGGUCUGAGAGGAUGAUCAGUCACACUGGAACUGAGACACGGUCCAGACUCCUACGGGAGGCAGCAGUGGGGAAUAUUGGACAAUGGGCGAAAGCCUGAUCCAGCCAUGCCGCGUGUGUGAAGAAGGUCUUCGGAUUGUAAAGCACUUUAAGUUGGGAGGAAGGGCAGUAAGUUAAUACCUUGCUGUUUUGACGUUACCAACAGAAUAAGCACCGGCUAACUUCGUG
rnacentral:rRNA from 1 species